CAGGCUGGAGUGGAGUAGCACAAUCAUACCUCGCUGCAGGCUCCAACUCCUGGACUCAAGCAAGCCUGCCACCUCAGCUUGCUGAGUAGCUGGGAUUACAGUGCCAGCCACUGCACCCUGCUGGCCUGCAAGGUUUUACCUGGUGCUUUAUGGAAAACAUUUGCUGACCUCUGAGCUAGCUCACAGUUCAGGCAAGGAAAUUGAAGUCCUGAAAGUUUAACUGAUUUGUUCCAGCUCAGAUGACUACACAGUGAAUAAUUUAUAUUGGAUUGAGAUGAUCUGGUCUUGGAAGAUAUGAUAGAAUUUUCCUUUGCAACUGAUUGUGGUGCUUUUUUACAUACCCUUGUUAAAUGAGAAACUGUGCAAAGCACCAUCUCAACCCAGCGCUUCCAUGGGCUUCACUGACCCCAGGCCUCCG